AACAAACGCUGGCGGCGUGCCUAAUACAUGCAAGUCGAACGGGGAAAGCCUUCGGGUGAGUACUAGUGGCGCACGGGUGAGUAACGCGUGGAUAAUCUGCCCUCGAGUGGGGAAUAACUAGUCGAAAGAUUAGCUAAUACCGCAUAAGACCCAAUUAGCUGAGGCUGAAGGGGUCAAAGGAGCAAUUCGCUUGAGGAUGAGUCCGCGUAAGAUUAGCUAGUUGGUGAGGUAACGGCUCACCAAGGCGACGAUCUUUAACUGGUCUGAGAGGAUGAUCAGUCACACUGGAACUGAGACACGGUCCAGACUCCUACGGGAGGCAGCAGUAGGGAAUAUUGGACAAUGGGGGCAACCCUGAUCCAGCGACGCCGCGUGAGUGACGAAGGCCUUCGGGUCGUAAAGCCCUGUUGCAAGGGAAAAACAAAAUGAUGGUACCUUGCUAGAAAGGAUCGGCUAACUUCGUGCCAGCCGCCGCUGUAAAAC
rnacentral:rRNA from 1 species